AUCUCCAAUUCUGUAACUCCAGUAUCAAAGUAAACACCAAAACAAAAUCUUCCACCUUCAGCUGGAACCAAAUGCUGCUUCCAGUCUGUUAACCAGCAGAAGUGUAACUGAGAGAAGUGAAACUACAGACUUAAGAGGAGAUGGAGAGAUUCAGGGAGGAGCUGAGCUGUUACUGAACUAUAGAAGAGAGAGAAACUUCAAACCACAAACAUUACCUUCAUUCAACAUGCUGUCACUGGACUAUUAUGGACUUUCUCUGAUGGUUGUCACUCUUCUAACAGGUGUCAGCUGUGAAGAUCUCAGUCCAGUCAAAGAUGAACAGUCCAGUUUAGAAGACAGCUCUGUUACUCUGUCCUACAGAUACAGCAAGAAAGCAAGUGGUGCUGAUGAGUUUUAUUGGUAUCGACAAGAUCCAGGAAAGCCACCAGAGUUCCUCACCUCUCACUCAGGAACAGGAGGAAUAUUAAUGAGUCCAAAGUCUGGACUGUCUGUUACAGUGAGUGAGGAAAACACUCACAUGAAUGUUCAGAUCUCCUCUGCUGCAGUGACAGACUCUGCUCUGUACUACUGUGCUGUGAGGCCCACAGUGACAGCAAACCCACAGUCUCUGUACAAAAACACAAGCUGA